rnacentral:rRNA from 1 species
GACAGAGGGUGCUAGCGUUGUUCGGAAUUACUGGGCGUAAAGGGCGCGUAGGCGGCUUGUUUAGUCGGGGUGUGAAAUCCCGGGGGCUCAACCCCCGGAACUGCAUUCGAUACUGGCAGGCUAGAGACCGGAAGAGGUGGGGUGGAAUACCCAGUGUAGAGGUGAAAAUUCGUAGAUAUUGGGUGGAACACCGGUGGCGAAGGCGGCUCACUGGUCCGGUUCUGACGCUGAGGCGCGAAAGCGUGGGGAGCAAACAGG